GACGAACGCUGGCGGCGUGCCUAAUACAUGCAAGUUGAACGAAGUUGCUUUAACUGGUGCUUGCACCGACUUAAACAACUGAGUGGCGAACGGGUGAGUAACACGUGGGGUAACCUGCCCCAAAGUGGGGGGAUAACAUUUGGAAACAGAUGCUAAUACCGCAUAACCACAGAAACCUCAUGGUUUCUGUGUCAAAGAUGGUUUCGGCUAUCACUUUGGGAUGGACCCGCGGCGUAUUAG
rnacentral:rRNA from 1 species